UCGCAUGUUAACAUUUACUUCCAUUUUUUUCGCAGCGUGUCAUAACAAAAGAUGUAAAGUUAUGUAUCCAUGGUUUGUAAAUCGCAUAGCAGGUAUUUUGUAGCAGUAAACAGAAGCGAGAUGCAAGACAAAGCAUUGGUCGAAGAGCGUUGCAGGGGUGGCCCGACUGUCCUGUCUGUGUUCAAGGUCAGCGCACUGCCUCGGAGGCCAUAGAUAGUAGCUCCCGGCGUGAGUCGCUAACAAGUCGCGAGGCUGCUCUAGGUAAACAAUGAACAUGAACCUGCUGUACCUAGAGAUGCCUGCAUUUACUAUCACACUUUCAUGAAGAACAAACUUACUGGGACAACCUGUAACAAUUUUCCUUAAUGUCACCAGCCAAAUUGAAAAUAUCUGCACUUUGAUAGUGACUAUGAUCAUUGUAUUUAUGUAAUUAUUUACAAUAUAUAUAUUUUUUUAAUUUAUUAAACGUGAUAGUAUGAAAGUUUUCCUAUAUUAAAAAAAUCAUAUAGAGAAGUAAAAUCUUUCAAAAAUGUAAGUUCGCCCUUUUAUAUCGGUUGAUGGAAAAAAACAUAAUUUUCAUAAUUUGGCUUUCAUGAAAGUAAUAAGGCCCAUUGCAUAAUUGUAUGAUCCUUUCAGUUAAUAUAAAAAUAAUAAAAUAGUUUAAGGUGAUAGCCCUUUAUAUAAAACAUGUAAUUAGGUGUAACUUGUUACAAAUGUCAAUAAAUUGAAAAAAAUAGAAAGUUAGUGGGUAUGUCUUAAAAAUCUUUAGCAUAUCUUGUACACAUGUAUGUCAUUUCAAAAAUAAUUUGUUAUGGUACCAAUGGUAAUUUUAUAUGUUUUCUACGAUUGUAUUAAUAUUUUGUAUCAUUUGUAUUCUGUGAGGAAAAAGAAACUAUAAUUAUUCUUGGGCUGCAUAAGUUACCAAUAGGCCUAAUUGGUAAAAAAAAAUUAGUACCAAAGAAUGCAAUAUAUGUGAAUUUUUCCAAUACAGUAUAUGUACCAUUUUGCAAAAAUACAUACAUGAGCGGGAAAUCAGAGUUUAUGUAGGCGUAUGUUGUCCCCAUGACCAGCGAUGGGGAGUGGGGGUGGGUGUUCCAGAUGCAGACAUGUAUUUUGAAAACUGUCAAAAACAAAUCAGAUUAGAAAAUGGCUUCAUCUUCAAAACGUGAGGUGUGCACUGGGAGCAGUAAAAAUUUGUGGAGCUAGGUCAGGAUUUGUGAAUUCACGGUUUAUCUGUACUAUUGACCGUUUCACUCUUGGAUUGUAGUACACAGCUUAGGUUGUGCGCUGUUGCCAAAUCUCCCAACUCAUUACGAUUAUCGGGAUAUGCAUUUCUUUAGAAUUAUGAUUGCACAAGAACCAUUUUAAGAACUCAUAUUGUUAUUUAUAAUAUUUUAUACUAUCAUGUUUAUUAAUUUUUGAUAAAAAUUGCCACUUUUUUUCCUCCAACUUAACAACAAGAAACGUUACACACAUUCAUUGGUACGAAUUCAUAAAAUAAUUGUAAAAUCAAAUUAAUAAAGAAAUUAGUAUUAAUACAUACCUUUUAAUCACUAUCGCUACUGUUAACCAAAGUUGAUCAAAGCUUCCUUUACUGCAUUGUUCACACACAUUGUUUUUGAAAAAUACUCAUACUUUCAACACAAACCCAGGUAGCCUACCAAUGUAGUUUCUUUUUGGUGUUCCAUCUUUUGUAGUUCAUAUUUAUGUAAUCCACAUAAAGGCAGAAUAUAAAAUCUCUUAUUAGAAUAAUUAAACCGUCAAAAUAUGUUUUCACAGUGUUAUGACGAGUUCUCUCCUAAGGAAAGCCUUAUUAUCUUCUCCCUCUAAUGGGGCUUGAAGGGAAUAAGGGGUUAUAAAAUAAGGUCUCAACAUUAACUUCAGUUCCACUUCAAUUUACUACUAACUAUUACAAUUGUCAACGCCGUCACCCGUUGAGUUAAAUCUAUAAAAUAUACUUAAGUCAAUCUACGUGCCUCUCAAUCACACCUGUGAGUCUCUUACCUCCGGUCUCUUGUCUCUCGCUCGCGGCAGAACUCUCGGCGAGGCGGGAAAAUGCGGCGAGAGUCACACGACACGCACCGGGCUCCAUCUCGGCACUGCCACCCCCAAAAUCCCCUUUUCGGGCGUGGCUGCCGUAUUUGAGACCUUGAGUCCGCAGCAUCUUCGACAGUCCUCGUUCCUACCCACUCUCGACCCUGUUUGCUUUCCACAACGGUGGCCAGCCUCGUUCAGAAGAAUUGUCCUUAACAUCCGACACAUGUCGAAACAGGGUGGGAUGAAAGACAAGAGUGGUGUCUGACAUACAGGUCAAGUCCAAUAACAAAAGACUGCACAGAACAUUGUUAAAUCAUCCGUGCAAAUUUUUAAAGACUUUUUUUUUUGAGAGAUGCAAGGCUAUUAAUGCGGAAGCACUUGUAGACUUUGUUUGAAAACUUAUCACAAAAAAAAUGUCACUCUGCCAGCAGUGCCACCUGCAACCGGCUCUAGAACCAAACAGAUACCCUUCAUUUCAUUGUCAUUUCAACAAAUGACAAAAUAUUCUAGACAGUGGACACAACGGUGGAAGUUUGCGAUUGUCCUUCCGGUGUGCUUUUCAGGAUUUUGCCUCCUUUGUUUGGACAUGAGAGUGUAACUAUUGCCAGCAUUGCACUGGGAGAAAAUUUCCCAGAAAACUUGUAAGCUGAAAUGGAGAACUGAAGUAACAGCUUUGACUCUAGAGGUGGACGACGUCUGUCGUGUCCCUCCCGGUCCCUGGGCCCGCUGUUGCCCAUCGCCGUCUUGUCCUGGUGCGAGUGCAACGAAGUGCUUCGAGUGCAAGUGCCCCAAGCGCAGCGACUGGUACGGUGAAUGACUGUGUCAUUCUGUGCCUUGGUGUUAAUAUAAUUGUGUUUAUUGAUUUAUGUUUUUAUUUAUAUAUCAUUUACUGACUGUCUGGAAGAGUAUUUGUGUAUUCUCUUUAUUCUAUGUGCAAUUACGUCAGCGAGUUGACCCGGACCACAUACUGUUUCACGCACAUCUCGUGCGGCCCCCUCCCGUGCUCGCCGCACCCCGGUGCACGGGAGGCAGUCUUGGCUCGUCCCUCCUCCAUGACGUACGCCUCGUACUAUUGCUCCCUGCUUCGCCGCUGCAGAGUUGUAAGUGGUUCAUAUCAGAGCAAGGCAGGCCGUGAUAGAACCUUACCACCUAGCGAAUAGCCACUCAGAUACUAACGAAGAGAUUAUACUUUUUAACGGUUUGUUAUAUACAAAAAAUAAAAUGUUAAGCGCCAAUUGUUGUUUUUGUUUUAUUUUUCAACGUAGAAUGCUACACUGAUUAAUUCAAUCACUUUCAAAAUCUUUCUCUCAUUCCACUCGUACUCCGCCUGUCGAGAAUUGCUCGCAGCUCUGGUGAUGAGGAUUAACGAAAAAUUACGUAGGUUAAGUCCUUCAGUAACAUCUUACUGUAAGUACACGAAAUCAGUGCGGCCUCAAACGUGGCCGCACCCAACGAAAAUUAAUUUCGCCAUGAGCCAAAAUGCCGACGUCGGUAGCUGCAAUUUCUAAUUAAAAAAGUGUCCAAAAAGUUUCAAAACAACAAAUGAUUAAACAGCAUGUCUCUAGCUACCGACGUUAAAUUUUCUAUUCCACAAUUACUACAUAUUUUGUGAGAAGCCACCCAACACGCCCUCCUGGUGCAGCGAUCGACAGACGACUGGUGAAGUCAUGGCACUGUGUCCUUCACGCAGGGAGGCAGUCACAUGACGUCACCGACCAAUCACACACACUUCAUUCACACUACAAAUCACAAGCCAAUAGGAAUACGCAACAUACAUUGAAAACAGUUUUCUAUACACAGAGCCAGGGAAUUUACAUUCUCGUUCUCUCUCCCACACCGUGAGACAGCAGUUAGCACUCAGUUCUCACGACCAGUGGGGAAUCCCAGCUUUUGUCUCUGUUGGCAGAGAAUCCCAGUGUCCGUCUCAUUCUUACUUACAAAUCUCAUAUCCCUCUUUCUCUCUAUUUACAUCCGCCACAGACACAGUUCCUUGUUCUAGAACUAUUAUGCAAUACGUUAAUGAAAAUUAAAAACAGCAAUCAUAAUACAAAUUACUUGACAAAAUUAAACUUAUUUAGAAAAACCUGAAAAAGUGGGCCAAAACAAGCAAAAAUCCAGUACGGAUUAUUUGUGAAUAAUUACAUAAAAAAUAUUAAUGAUUUAAAAUGUUUGUUAAUAUACAAAGUACAAUCUUAAAACAUACAGCAAGUGCAAAUAUCAAACCUAAAAUACAUAAAACCGGUAAAAAUAUUCUUAGCAAGACUUUUUAAGAAAUGUUUACAUUCAUGAAAAUAUUUUAAAAGAAAAAUAUUUAGCUAGGAGGGCAGGGGUCCUGGAAUGUUACAACUUGGAACACUGAGGAAGCUGUUGAAUGGAUCGCAGUUUCAGAAACCAAGGGGAAGACAGUGGUGCUUCGUCUGCAAAGAACUAGGACACAUCCGGCGCGAGUGUCCGAAUCGUGAUAGGAAGCCCAAGGGAGAAGUACAACGCUGUGAGACAACGAUCGAACAGGAGAAGAGUCUGCCGGUUCGACGAAGAAGAGGUCGCCCACAAUGUUAUGGGUGUCGAAAAAGAGGACAUGUCCAACAUGACUGCCCGAAUCUUGUGAAAAAACCGAAGGAGGAAGGACACUGAUGUGUCAGCAGGAUUAAGGAGGGUGGUAACUCACCAGUUAAAGGAACAGGAAGUUGCCUACGGUGUUCAGUUUCUGCGUGCCGACAAGGGCAUUCUCAAGGGAGGUGCCCGGAAUGGGAACCUGUUCAGCGGGGUUGCCUUAUGGAAAGGGAAGCGCCACGGCAGCAGGUAAGGAAGAGCGAGACCCAUAGGCACCGCAAAGUUGGCCUGUGGACCCGUAGAGUCGGACGGCCGCGAUGUUAUAUCUGUCAGGAAGUGGGCCAUAUUCAGUGCACCGGUCCGCUGCGUAGGAGGGCUUUGCCGCAUGGCUCACAACAGCACAGUGUUACCUGUUAGGGACGAACCGGUUUAAGUAGGGGGCAAUGUUACGAACGUGAGAAGGGCCGCGGCACGUGCAGGUUCGGAGCUGGCUGGCGGCCUCGUACGGCUACUGAUGUCAUGUGGCCACUGCAACAUGAGACGUGCUGUGCGCGCAUGUUAGAUUACAAGUGUCAUCACUUCCCCCCUCCCUCCCUCUGCUUCCCUAGCGACGCUCUGUCUUUGACACAUUAUCUGACACCUUGCAGCUGGGGAGUUACGCGAGCUACCGAUACGUGUCUCGAGAUUUCUGGCGUCGGGUCGGCGUGGAAUGACGCGACUGGCCCCAGCUGCGCUCGCGACUUCUAGAAGUGGCGCCUGGGCCUAUAUAAGCCCGGGACGCCGGCCUCCGAGGGGAAUGCAGUUGGGAGUGGGGUUGAUCCGGGCAAUAGAGCUGCGGGUGCAGCGGAGUUCCUCGCCGAGCGAGUUGGGUGGCGAGAGGCCGUGGGUGCAGCGAGAGUCCCGAGCAAAGCGUCGAGUGGAAGCCUCGGCGAAGGGAAGUGCGACGGCGGCGACGGAGGUCCACAAGGGGUGCUGCCCAGCGAGGUGUGCAAUGUGUAAAAACCGAGUGACUGGGGAAUAAACAUUUUUUUUUUAAGUGUAUUGAUUACUAGGCAUUUUUAGAAGAUUAUUUGUAGUGAUGUAAAUAUUGGCAAUCAAUAAAACUGUGUAGUAAAAUCUUUAAUUGGGCUAUCCAUUUACGAACCCAGUAUUUUUCCCAUGACGAUUAUUGUUUCAAUAAUCGUAACAAUUUUAUAUAUAUAAUUCUCAGUUAAAUUAUAUUUAUAUUUAUUUGGUAGUUUAGAUGGAUGUAACAUGUACAAUUUUUUUAUUCAAAACUGUUAGAUAAAAUUUUAUAGUAUGUAUGGGAACAUCGACAAUUUAUGACUUAAAAAAUAUUUUCCAAGUUUCUAAGAAUAUGUGUUGGAUAUUUUUCAGUUUAUUUAAACAAUUUUGUAUCUAGAAUUACUUUGUAUAUAUUUUUGAUUAAAACAAUGUGAGGUUUUAAUCUGGUUUCAAUGUUACUAUCCAUAUAUAUUUCAGAAGCAUUUUCCAGUUGAUUUGGCAUGUUCGUUAUCACAGUCAAUAAAUGUUACAUUUUACAUUGCAGUAGAUAUCAAUAAAAAUUCUUCUUUUAA